rnacentral:rRNA from 1 species
UAGGAAAGCGGACGAGAAGCUUGCUUCUCUGAUGUUAGCGGCGGACGGGUGAGUAACACGUGGAUAACCUACCUAUAAGACUGGGAUAACUUCGGGAAACCGGAGCUAAUACCGGAUAAUAUUUUGAACCGCAUGGUUCAAAAGUGAAAGACGGUCUUGCUGUCACUUAUAGAUGGAUCCGCGCUGCAUUAGCUAGUUGGUAAGGUAACGGCUUACCAAGGCAACGAUGCAUAGCCGACCUGAGAGGGUGAUCGGCCACACUGGAACUGAGACACGGUCCAGACUCCUACGGGAGGCAGCAGUAGGGAAUCUUCCGCAAUGGGCGAAAGCCUGACGGAGCAACGCCGCGUGAGUGAUGAAGGUCUUCGGAUCGUAAAACUCUGUUAUUAGGGAAGAACAUAUGUGUAAGUAACUGUGCACAUCUUGACGGUACCUAAUCAGAAAGCCACGGCUAACUACGUGCCAGCAGCCGCGGUAAUACGUAGGUGGCAAGCGUUAUCCGGAAUUAUUGGGCGUAAAGCGCGCGUAGGCGGUUUUUUAAGUCUGAUGUGAAAGCCCACGGCUCAACCCGUGGAGGGUCAUUGGAAACUGGAAAACUUGAGUGCAGAAGAGGAAAGUGGAAUUUCCAUGUGUAGCGGUGAAAUGCGCAGAGAUAUGGAGGAACACCAGUGGCGAAGGCGACUUUCUGGUCUGUAACUGACGCUGAUGUGCGAAAGCGUGGGGAUCAAACAGGAUUAGAUACCCUGGUAGUCCACGCCGUAAACGAUGAGUGCUAAGUGUUAGGGGGUUUCCGCCCCUUAGUGCUGCAGCUAACGCAUUAAGCACUCCGCCUGGGGAGUACGACCGCAAGGUUGAAACUCAAAGGAAUUGACGGGGACCCGCACAAGCGGUGGAGCAUGUGGUUUAAUUCGAAGCAACGCGAAGAACCUUACCAAAUCUUGACAUCCUUUGACAACUCUAGAGAUAGAGCUUUCCCCUUCGGGGGACAAAGUGACAGGUGGUGCAUGGUUGUCGUCAGCUCGUGUCGUGAGAUGUUGGGUUAAGUCCCGCAACGAGCGCAACCCUUAAGCUUAGUUGCCAUCAUUAAGUUGGGCACUCUAAGUUGACUGCCGGUGACAAACCGGAGGAAGGUGGGGAUGACGUCAAAUCAUCAUGCCCCUUAUGAUUUGGGCUACACACGUGCUACAAUGGACAAUACAAAGGGCAGCGAAACCGCGAGGUCAAGCAAAUCCCAUAAAGUUGUUCUCAGUUCGGAUUGUAGUCUGCAACUCGACUACAUGAAGCUGGAAUCGCUAGUAAUCGUAGAUCAGCAUGCUACGGUGAAUACGUUCCCGGGUCUUGUACACACCGCCCGUCACACCACGAGAGUUUGUAACACCCGAAGCCGGUGGAGUGAACUUGU